CCUACGGGGGGCUGCAGUGGGGAAUAUUGCACAAUGGGGGAAACCCUGAUGCAGCCACGCCGCGUGAGCGAUGAAGGCCUUCGGGUCGUAAAGCUCUGUCCUAAGGGAAGAAUACUGACCGUACCUUAGGAGGAAGCACCGGCUAACUACGUGCGAGCAGCCGCGGUAAUACGUAAGGGGCUAGCGUUAUCCGGAAUUACUGGGCGGAAAGUGUGCGUAGGCGGUCCUUCAAGUCAGAGGGGAAAGGCUACGGCUCAACCGUAGUAAGCAUUUGAAGCUGUAGGGCUUGAGUGCAAGGGAGGGGAGAGUGAUUGCCAGUGUAGCGGUGAGAUGCGUAGAUAUUGGGAGGGACGCCAGUCGCGAAGGCGGGUCUCUAGACUGUAAGUGACGAUGAGGCACGAAAGCGUGGGGAGCGAACAGGAUUAGAUACCCUUGUAGUC
rnacentral:rRNA from 1 species